rnacentral:rRNA from 1 species
AGUGAACGCUGGCGGUAGGCCUAACACAUGCAAGUCGAACGGCAGCACAGUAAGAGCUUGCUCUUACGGGUGGCGAGUGGCGGACGGGUGAGGAAUACAUCGGAAUCUACUUUUUCGUGGGGGAUAACGUAGGGAAACUUACGCUAAUACCGCAUACGACCUACGGGUGAAAGCAGGGGAUCUUCGGACCUUGCGCGAUUGAAUGAGCCGACGUCGGAUUAGCUAGUUGGCGGGGUAAAGGCCCACCAAGGCGACGAUCCGUAGCUGGUCUGAGAGGAUGAUCAGCCACACUGGAGCUGAGACACGGUCCAGACUCCUACGGGAGGCAGCAGUGGGGAAUAUUGGACAAUGGGCGCAAGCCUGAUCCAGCCAUACCGCGUGGGUGAAGAAGGCCUUCGGGUUGUAAAGCCCUUUUGUUGGGAAAGAAAAGCAGCAGGUUAAUACCCCGCUGUUCUGACGGUACCCAAAGAAUAAGCACCGGCUAACUUCGUG